rnacentral:lncRNA from 1 species
CGAAAUAGACACUAUCCGUCUCAGCCUCACCUCGACCACUCUCUCCCAGAUCUUCAUAGAGUGACUCAAUAGCUUAUAAUUUGUAUAUAUUUUAAUAUUUAAUUACUUUUUUUAUUUGAGUUGUAUAUUUAUUUAUUAUGUUUACAAAAUAAGUAAAUCAUGAACUUUCUGAUGUUGAAAAGCAAACAGUCUUAAUCAUUCAGGGUUCAGAUCUAAAGUCAACAUCUUAAUCAUCAAAUUCAAAAGUGUUAAUCUGAUAGCCUAAAGGCUAUGGACUAACAAAAAUGAACUCACAAAACACAAAAACCAGCAAGCACAUGAAGAGAAAAUAACACAAUAGAAGGAGAUGAAGAAGAAGAAUUGCAUGAAAUUAAAGAUAAAUAGAAAGACCCUUACUUCUACCAAAUGAUUAACAAAAAAUGGUGUAUCAAACCAUCAAUCACACCUCAUCAAUAGAAGUUCAAACCUUCCUCUUAGGUGACCCAAAGGACUCACACUUCCUCAAGCAUACCUUUCUUGCAAAUUUUCCAAGACAAGUGAAAAGCCAAUUUCAAUGUUCAAGGGACCUAAUUUCGGAUUCUAGGGUUACACUAGAAGACUAAAGCUACAAAUUAAGAGUAAUGUUCAAUGUCAUCAAAAGUCUAAUGAAAAUAGUAUCUAAAGUGUCUAUUUAUUCUAUUACAUAACAAUGACUAAAUUGUCCUUAAUGAGGCUUAGGAAGAGGCGUCCUUGGAGUGUGGUCUUUUGAAGUGUAAAGACCACUAUGCCCUAAAUGAAUAGGCGCCUAUGUGAUGUAGUGAUCCCUCCUUCUCUUCAAUUUGAUCAAGGCUUUGAAAAGGUUCCAAAAGGGUCUUCAAGCACUUACCAAAUUCAAACUUGAACCUUUUACAAGACCUUGAAAUCCUUGUGCUCCUUGUGCUUGUAUCAUCCUCUCUAUCUUGAAGGAAUUUGUCCUCAAAUUCAGAUUUUGCAAAAACCAAAGAGAGAGCAAAACAAACACACAAUCCUCUCGGUAGGAGGGUUAGUAUUGGUACCACACUCAUAUCAUCAACCCAUGGUUGCUCACACUUGACAUACAACCACAUAUCCUUAGUAUUUGACAUAAAAGCUUAUCAUAAAGGAUACCAAAGACAUGAAUAGCAUCAAUAUCAAAGAUAAGUGAGCACGACCAGCAACUAUAAUCUUCACAUCUCAAGAAUAUUCCGGGGUCAAAUGGGAGCAAAUGAUAAAGGUUUAAGUCGAGAUGGCCCACUCCUUUCACUAUGUUACCAAGUUCACAAUCAUUCAAGGCAUUACCCACCCCUAGGACAAACAUAAGGUUACUAUGAACAAGAUUAAUAUAAUGGCUUUCAUUACACAAGUUCAAAGAACCAUGUUCAAUAUCAAGACCAUCAUUCCUAGCAUCAACACUAACUUGAAAGUUUUCAACCACACUAUUCUCAUAUUCAAGUAGUGAACUAAUCUUAGGUGCACAUGGUUUAUUAUACAUAUCAAGAGAGCUAACAAGAGAAGAAUCAUGUACACCUACAUCGAGAAAUUCCGAAACCUCUACAUAAGGAAUCACAUGACAACAAUUUUAGCUCAAGGAAAUAUUGGGAAUAGCAUCACUACCUCGGUUUGGACUAGGAUAGUCCACUCCAUUGAAGCUUUCGGCCAAGGGUCUUUUGAGGCCACUUUCAUGUGAGAUUUCGUGUUGAUCCUUCUUUGAUAAUUCAUGAGCUUGAACCUGCAAAUAAGGAGAAUCAAGGCUAGGUAAAAUGCUAGCCUUUGUGUUAGUGAGUAUCGAGGGACCUUUGUGGGCAAGUCCCACAAACAAAGUUGUCUCCUCCUUUCCUUUCUCACAAUCCAAAACCUUCCCUUCCUUUUCCUUCUUUCUUUUAUCAUCCAACUUCUUGGUUUUCUCUUGGAUUCCAUUCACACUAGGUGGUGGAAGAGGAAGAAGAGUGAAUCUUCGACCACCAUGCUCAAAGGUGUACCUAUUAGCCCUUCCAUCAUGCAUCGUGUGUCUAUCAAAUUGCCAAGGCCUUUUCAACAAGAUGUGACAUGCAUGCAUAGGGAUUACAUCACACUUUACUUCAUCAUGAUAAUUCCCUAUUUUGAAUCUAAUCACACAUUGCUGUUUGACGUUCAAUUCACCACACUUGUUUAACCAUUGAAGCUUGUGUAUGGGUUCGGGUGAGGGAUAGUGGGUAAUUUCAAGUGAUUAAACAAAGUGACACUAACAAUGUUCACACCACUCUCACUAUCUAUAAUCAUGGAACUCACACUUCCUUUAAUAAGGCACUUGGUAUGAAAGAGGUUCUCUCUUUGAUCAUCCAAGACCUUACUAAACAAAGUCCUCCGAACCACAUAACUAGGGACAUCACAUUCCCCUUCACAAGGCAAUACCUCUUCUUUACUUCUCUCUUGAGUUUCGGGUUCUAAGCACUCUCCAUCUUGAAAGUUAUCAUCAUUCCCUUCGGUUUCUAAUUCAACUUUUUCACCAAGAUAGUACAACCUACCUUCCCUGAGGAUCACAUUUCUACGAGUAGCACACUCACUUGCCCGAUGACCCCAACCUUGACACUUGAAACAAUGCAAGCCCUUAGAUGAAGUAGGAAAGGUAUUCGGCUUUACCUCCAACUUUGGAGUUUGGUAUGACACUUGCUUGUUUGAGAUUUGAGAAGAAGGAGAAGAUGAAGAAGAUUUGUUUUUGUUCCAAUCCGAAGUCAAAGGACUUACCUCUUUGUUUCUUGUCAAACCCGAACCUUGUUGGAUUUUGAGCUUGUAAGCCGACCUCUCUUUGUUCUCUUUUUCAAUCUCCAUGGCCGCUUGGAAGACUUCAACCACGGUUCCAAACUUGUGAAGAGUCAAACGGGAUGAUAUGUCCUUGUUCAAUCCAACCUUGAAGCGAAUAACAUCAUGUAUGACUUCUUCACCUCUAUGAUCAAGCUUCAAAAUGAGUUGCUGAAAUUCGUCAUAAUAGGCCAUGACACUCUUGCUUCCUUGCUUUAGAUUGUAAAGCUUGGCAAGAAAUUCAUGUCUAUAUUGUUCCGGUACAUACCUCUCUCUCAUUACUCUUUUUCACUCUCUUUCUUCCCUCUUUUGGAUCAAACAACACCUUUGAAUAUUCUUCUUCACUAAGAUAUGAAGAUCGAAGUGGAGCCUUGGAGUAACUGGUAAAGUUGCUGCCAUGUGACCAGGAGGUCAUGGGUUCAAGCCUUGGAAACAGCCUCUAGCAGAAAUGCAAGGUAAGGCUGCGUACGAUACACCCUUGUGGUGGGGCCCUUCCCCGGACACCGCGCAUAGCGGUAGCUUUAAUGCACCGGGCUGCCCUUUACUAAGAUAUGAAGAUCAAGGAUGAACAAGAUGAAUAUUAUAGUGUUGACCAAGUUUGACCAACAAGCAAAUGGACUCCAAAUCUGAUUUUUUGUAGAUCCAGGUUCCUUAUGCUAAAACAAACUCAACCCACUAAAAAUCAGCCACAAAUCAAGUCACCAACACAAACCCAAAACGUCACCUUCUCCAAAAAGCUUCAAACAAGCCACAACAAUGGUGGAUCUAGUUCAAAAUCAACCAAACUUCACUCUAAAAGUAGAUCUAGACACUUUUAGUGUUAGAGAACAAGAAUCUAACACUAGAAACUAUCAAAACAAGCUAAAAAUUAGUAGAUCUAACUUCUAAAUAAGGAUCUAACACAAGACAAUACUAAACACCUUUUUUUUUUUUUUGUAUUUUCGGAUUUUUGACACUUUUUUGUUGAGAUUUUCUAAAUAAGAACACUAAAACCAAGAUUUAGGGAUGUUGGAACAACCCUAACAAAGGGUUUGAUACCAAAUGAUAGACUAAUGACUACCAAACACACUAAAUUUGCAACUAAGAUGCAAAUUCCAGCAGCCAAACAAAGAGAAAAAAGCACAAAGAAUGGAGAUGAAGAUGAAGAUACUUGAAAUUGAAGGAUAGAUAGAAAGACCCUUACCCUUAUUAAGUUAUUAGAACUAUAAGAUGUUUCAAAUCUUCAAACAUACUUCACAAACAAGAGUUAAAACCUUCCUCUUAGGUGACCCAAAGGAAACACACUUUCUCACAAAUGUCAUCAAAAGUCUAAUGAAAAUAGUAUCUAAAGUUUCUAUUUAUACUAUUACAUAACAACUAAAUUACCCUUAAUGAGGCUUAGGGAGAGUUGCCCUUGGAGUGUGGUCUUUUGAAGCGUAAAGACCACUAUGCUCUUAAUGAAUAGGCGCCUAUGUGAUGUAGUGAUCUCUCCUUCUCUUCAAUUUGAUCAAGGCUUUGAAAAGGCUCCAAAAGGGUCUUCAAGCACUUGCCAAAUCCGAACUUGAACCUUCUACAAGACCUUGAAAUCCUUGUGCUCCUUGUGCUUGUAUCAUAAUCUCAAUGAAAACAAAUGGGACCAGAAUUAUCUAAGUAUGUCUUUUGGUAAUUGGAAGGUGAAAACUUGGAGUAGGGUGUGAUUGGACUGACAUUAUGGCAUUUUAUGGACGCAAUCUGGUUUCCAUGUGUCAUUGGCUAAGUUACUGAGUGGUCUUUUUUAUAGGAGUACUUCAAAUUUUUUUGAUUUCAUUAGCUUUUGUAGUAAGUGUGUUUAUGACGUGUCUAUCUUUUUCCUGUUUCUGAUUAUAACAUGUAAUGAAACUCAAAUUAAAUAAGUAGUAGUAGAAGAGCAUUUAUGACAUCUUUUCCAUUUUAAUAUCUUCUAGGAUCUAGCAUGUUUAAUUUUAGAGGCAGAGUUAAGCCAUUCCAUAUUUUAAUUUGUUAUCACAAGCCUGUUAAACUCACAUAGUGCCUGGGAUUUUUCACUUAGGUAAUACGUACUUGUUCUUUUACUUGUUUUUGUUCCCUUUAU